rnacentral:ncRNA from 8 species
UGGCUCAGUUCAGCAGGAACAGG